CCCUUAGAUGUUCUGGGCCGCACGCGCGCUACACUGACGGAUUCAACGAGCUUACAACCUUGGCCGAAAGGUCUGGGUAAUCUUCAAAAUCCGUCGUGAUGGGGAUAGAUUAUUGCAAUUAUUAAUCUUCAACGAGGAAUGCCUAGUAAGCGCAAGUCAUCAGCUUGCGUUGAUUACGUCCCUGCCCUUUGUACACACCGCCCGUCGUUUCUUCCGACUGAUACUCAUUGUGAGUUGCAAGGACCCUUUAUUGGGAAAUUGCUGCAAAUGCUUUGUAUUGGAGGAAGAAAAAGUCGUAACA
rnacentral:rRNA from 1 species